rnacentral:rRNA from 1 species
AGUAAAAGUCGUAACAAGGUCUCCGUUGGUGAACCAGCGGAGGGAUCAUUACUGAGUUUACGCUCUACAACCCUUUGUGAACAUACCUAUAACUGUUGCUUCGGCGGGUAGGGUCUCCGCGACCCUCCCGGCCUCCCGCCUCCGGGCGGGUCGGCGCCCGCCGGAGGAUAACCAAACUCUGAUUUAACGACGUUUCUUCUGAGUGGUACAAGCAAAUAAUCAAAACUUUUAACAACGGAUCUCUUGGUUCUGGCAUCGAUGAAGAACGCAGCGAAAUGCGAUAAGUAAUGUGAAUUGCAGAAUUCAGUGAAUCAUCGAAUCUUUGAACGCACAUUGCGCCCGCCAGCAUUCUGGCGGGCAUGCCUGUUCGAGCGUCAUUUCAACCCUCAAGCUCUGCUUGGUGUUGGGGCCCUACAGCCGAUGUAGGCCCUCAAAGGUAGUGGCGGACCCUCCCGGAGCCUCCUUUGCGUAGUAACUUUACGUCUCGCACUGGGAUCCGGAGGGACUCUUGCCGUAAAACCCCCCAAUUUUCCAAAGGUUGACCUCGGAUCAGGUAGGAAUACCCGCUGAACUUAAGCAUAUCAAUAA